rnacentral:rRNA from 1 species
GGGGCAGCAUGGUCUUAGCUUGCUAAGGCUGAUGGCGACCGGCGCACGGGUGAGUAACACGUAUCCAACCUGCCGUCUACUCUUGGCCAGCCUUCUGAAAGGAAGAUUAAUCCAGGAUGGGAUCAUGAGUUCACAUGUCCGCAUGAUUAAAGGUAUUUUCCGGUAGACGAUGGGGAUGCGUUCCAUUAGAUAGUAGGCGGGGUAACGGCCCACCUAGUCAACGAUGGAUAGGGGUUCUGAGAGGAAGGUCCCCCACAUUGGAACUGAGACACGGUCCAAACUCCUACGGGAGGCAGCAGUGAGGAAUAUUGGUCAAUGGGCGAUGGCCUGAACCAGCCAAGUAGCGUGAAGGAUGACUGCCCUAUGGGUUGUAAACUUCUUUUAUAAAGGAAUAAAGUCGGGUAUGCAUACCCGUUUGCAUGUACUUUAUGAAUAAGGAUCGGCUAACUCCGUGCCAGCAGCCGCGGUAAUACGGAGGAUCCGAGCGUUAUCCGGAUUUAUUGGGUUUAAAGGGAGCGUAGAUGGAUGUUUAAGUCAGUUGUGAAAGUUUGCGGCUCAACCGUAAAAUUGCAGUUGAUACUGGAUGUCUUGAGUGCAGUUGAGGCAGGCGGAAUUCGUGGUGUAGCGGUGAAAUGCUUAGAUAUCACGAAGAACUCCGAUUGCGAAGGCAGCCUGCUAAGCUGCAACUGACAUUGAGGCUCGAAAGUGUGGGUAUCAAACAGG